AAACUCUUCCCCAGGCCAAAUCAGUAGAAACUGCACUCAUCUUAUCUCAUUUGGAAAUUACCCUUUGCAGAUCAUGCAGUCUGAUAGUCUGAUUGCCUGUGAUCACCUAUGGACCAACCUGUCAAGGCCAGAUCCAAGAAUGACUCACCAAAGUUACCAGUAGGGGAUUGGAUUGGAGCCCACUUUAGAGCAUUUGCUUGUGGAAGGACCCAUGGGGAACCAUUCUAUGGAGCAUGUGCAGUGUGGAGCCUGUACUUUGGAUUUUUCCUAUGCGACAUAUGUUGGGGCCCCUUGAUAAAGGGCGUUAAUAAAUCAAUCUCAUGCUUGGUUCCCAUGUACUUCCUUUCCCAUGUGUUCAUCUAGGUGAGCCUGAGGCUGAUGUCUUUCUGCUUUGUGUUUCUUUCCCUGGGUAUAGAGGACCAGAUAGAAAUCCUGAGAUGAAUAUUUCUAAUCUUGGCAGCAACCUUCCAAGUUGGAGGGGCUGGGAGCUCCUGGGUUUGAGUGCUGAUUGACCAGUAGUAGAUGACCUCUGAAACAACUUCUUGGAGAAGAUGACUACCACCAGGAAGAUGAACCUAAGUCACAUCUUCAAGAGAUGAAGAAAAAAGGAUAAAGUGGAAAUUAUUAUAGUACAUCAUAGCUGCUGCUUCUAUUGCUGUUAUCCGCUCUAAGCCGCUCAUGGGAAUAAGGAAAUCAUAGGAUCAUAGGACUAAAUAAAU